GAAGGAAGGAAGGAAGGAACUUUCUAAUAGGCAAAGCAGCUUAAAUGGAAUGGGCUGCCUGGCAGUUCUUGAGUUCUUUUCCGCAGAGACAUUCAGUAUCAGGCAGACGGCUGUGCGGGAAUGUCUCAGAAGGCGUCUUAACCUAGGAGAGUCAGGUAAUAGGAUGUUUAUGGCUCCUUCCUACCUUGAUAUUCUUGAUUUUACAGUUGAAUGCAGAUGGCAAUCAAGGCUACUUGGGGAAAUAUACUUCCAUGAGGCCUCUAAAUAACGGUGAGGAUGUGUGGAGGUGGAUCCGGUGCCCAAAGCCUGCCUGGUCCUUCAUCUCAUUCAGUGGUCUUUAUAAACCAUCAGCGUCUCAGUGGUCCCUACAGCCAGCAGUCAUGGGAGAGGAGGACCCACACGAAGUGCCACUAGUGAUGCUGGAAGUGCCCCCAAGAAGCAGAAAAAGGUCACGACAUAACAGGAAAAAGUGGAAAUGCUUGUCUGGGCACUACAGAGAUUUUCAAAACUGUCUGUGAGAGUAAAUAAUAUGUAUGAAUUUAUUUCAAGAUAGGGAAGCUGAUAUUGAAACAUGCGUUUGUCUGAAAGAGUUGGCAGUGACUGUUCUGGAAUCCUGUUUUCCCAUUUUCCUCUGCUGGCCACCACGUUCUGCCUAAGAGGCCUGGGAAGGGUCUGGGAGACAGGGAGGAGCAGGAGGUGGGGCGGGGAGCGAAGAGGGAGAAACAGGUCAGAAACACCAUGUUUCCCCCAGGCCUGUCACAUGUGGACGUAGUCACAUUUAGACAAGAUACCACAUAUUCUGCUGCUGACAGGGAAAAACAACAACAAAUAAACAAAAUGGCACAUAAAUACAA